AGAAUACAGGAAUAGCAGAUUUAAGGAGGACCUUCCCUCUCCUACAGGGCUGAGAAAGAGCACCUGAGGAAGAGCCUGCCCCCUCACCCUGUUCCUCUGACCCAGGGCUGAGUUCAAGAUGCUAACAGAGAGGGAUCAGAGCAGCUUCUGAGAUGCUGUGCCAUCAGAGCGUGUUGGAAACCCUUCCUUUGGAAUGCAGGGAGACGUGUACACAGGCAGCACCUCAACAGUUGCUGUGAAGCCACCUGAGGGGGUGCCUGGAGAGUCCACAGGAGUCUACACUGGAGGAGCCAUGUGUCCUGCCCUUCAUUUUAUUUUCCACCCAGAAACUAUCCUAGGAGGACGCCACGUAACCUGGUUUUCCAGACCGAGGAAAAUCAAACCCCGCAAGUGGGUGGGCGAGCUGACUUUUCCGUCUGCAAUCCUCGCUUUUGCUCAGAGGCCGUGUGCCCCCCUCCCUCUGCCCUCAGUCGUGUGCUCCAGAACCCGAUGA
rnacentral:lncRNA from 12 species